AGUGAACGCUGGCGGUAGGCCUAACACAUGCGAGUCGAACGGCCGCACCGUAAGAGCUUGCUCUUACGGGUGGCGAGUGGCGGACGGGUGAGGAAUACAUCGGAAUCUACUUUUUCGUGGGGGAUAACGUAGGGAAACUUACGCUAAUACCGCAUACGACCUCCGGGUGAAAGCAGGGGAUCUUCUGACCUUGCGCGAUUGAAUGAGCCGAUGUCGGAUUCGCUAGUUUGCGGGGUAAAGGCCCACCAAGGCGACGAUCCGUAGCUGGUCUGAGAGGAUGAUCAGCCACACUGUAAGUGAGACACGGUCCAGACUCCUACGGGAGGCAGCAGUGGGGAAUAUUGGACAAUGGGCGAAAGCCUGAUCCAGCCAUACCGCGUGGGUGAAGAAGGCCUUCGGGUUGUAAAGCCCUUUUGUUGGGAAAGAAAAGCAGCAGGUUAAUACCCCGCGGUUCUGACGGUACCCAAAGAAUAAGCACCGGCUAACUUCGUG
rnacentral:rRNA from 1 species